ACAGGAUUAGAUACCCUGGUAGUCCACGCUGUAAACGAUGAUUACUGGUUGUUAGCGAUAUAUAGCUAGUGACUGAGCGAAAGCAUUAAGUAAUCCACCUGGGGAGUACGUCGGCAACGAUGAAACUCAAAGGAAUUGACGGGGGCCCGCACAAGCGGAGGAACAUGUGGUUUAAUUCGAUGAUACGCGAGGAACCUUACCUGGGUUUAAAUGGGGAGUGGCAGGUGUCGAAAGAUGCUUUUCCUUCGGGACACUCUUCAAGGUGCUGCAUGGUUGUCGUCAGCUCGUGCCGUGAGGUGUCGGGUUAAGUCCCAUAACGAGCGCAACCCUUGCCGAUAGUUGCCAUCACGUAAAGGUGGGCACUCUAUCGGGACUGCCGGUGUAAACCGUGAGGAAGGUGGGGAUGACGUCAAAUCAGCACGGCCCUUACAUCCAGGGCUACACACGUGUUACAAUGGCCAGUACAGAGGGCCGCUACCCCGCGAGGGGGAUGCCAAUCUCGAAAGCUGGUCUCAGUUCGNAUUGNAGUCUGGAACCCGACUUCAUGAAGC
rnacentral:rRNA from 1 species